rnacentral:rRNA from 1 species
AGUCGAGGGGCAGCAUUUUAGUUUGCUUGCAAACUGAAGAUGGCGACCGGCGCACGGGUGAGUAACACGUAUCCAACCUGCCGAUAACUCCGGAAUAGCCUUUCGAAAGAAAGAUUAAUACCGGAUAGCAUACGAAUAUCGCAUGAUAUUUUUAUUAAAGAAUUUCGGUUAUCGAUGGGGAUGCGUUCCAUUAGUUUGUUGGCGGGGUAACGGCCCACCAAGACUACGAUGGAUAGGGGUUCUGAGAGGAAGGUCCCCCACAUUGGAACUGAGACACGGUCCAAACUCCUACGGGAGGCAGCAGUGAGGAAUAUUGGUCAAUGGGCGAGAGCCUGAACCAGCCAAGUAGCGUGAAGGAUGAAGGCUCUAUGGGUCGUAAACUUCUUUUAUAUGGGAAUAAAGUUUUCCACGUGUGGAAUUUUGUAUGUACCAUAUGAAUAAGGAUCGGCUAACUCCGUGCCAGCAGCCGCGGUAAUACGGAGGAUCCGAGCGUUAUCCGGAUUUAUUGGGUUUAAAGGGAGCGUAGGUGGAUUGUUAAGUCAGUUGUGAAAGUUUGCGGCUCAACCGUAAAAUUGCAGUUGAAACUGGCAGUCUUGAGUACAGUAGAGGUGGGCGGAAUUCGUGGUGUAGCGGUGAAAUGCUUAGAUAUCACGAAGAACUCCGAUUGCGAAGGCAGCUCACUAGACUGUCACUGACACUGAUGCUCGAAAGUGUGGGUAUCAAACAGGAUUAGAUACCCUGGUAGUCCACACAGUAAACGAUGAAUACUCGCUGUUUGCGAUAUACAGUAAGCGGCCAAGCGAAAGCAUUAAGUAUUCCACCUGGGGAGUACGCCGGCAACGGUGAAACUCAAAGGAAUUGACGGGGGCCCGCACAAGCGGAGGAACAUGUGGUUUAAUUCGAUGAUACGCGANGGAACCUUACCCGGGCUUAAAUUGCAACAGAAUAUAUUGGAAACAGUAUAGCCGUAAGGCUGUUGUGAAGGUGCUGCAUGGUUGUCGUCAGCUCGUGCCGUGAGGUGUCGGCUUAAGUGCCAUAACGAGCGCAACCCUUAUCUUUAGUUACUAACAGGUCAUGCUGAGGACUCUAGAGAGACUGCCGUCGUAAGAUGUGAGGAAGGUGGGGAUGACGUCAAAUCAGCACGGCCCUUACGUCCGGGGCUACACACGUGUUACAAUGGGGGGUACAGAAGGCGGCUACCUGGUGACAGGAUGCUAAUCCCAAAAACCUCUCUCAGUUCGGAUCGAAGUCUGCAACCCGACUUCGUGAAGCUGGAUUCGCUAGUAAUCGCGCAUCAGCCAUGGCGCGGUGAAUACGUUCCCGGGCCUUGUACACACCGCCCGUCAAGCCAUGAAAGCCGGGGGUACCUGAAGUACGAACCGCAAGGAGCUCCUAGG